ensembl:lncRNA
GAUCAGAGUAGUUCACCACUAUGGAGCAUAGUGGUACAUUCCUGCAGAUAGUUCACCACUAUGGAGCAUAGUGGUACAUUCCUGAUCAGAGUAGUUCACCACUAUGGAGCAUAGUGGUACAUUCCUGAUCAGAGUAGUUCAGCACCAUGGAGCAUAGUGGUACAUUCCUGAUCAGAGUAGUUCAGCACUAUGAAGCAUAGUGGUACAUUCCUGAUCAGAGUAGUUCAGCACUAUGGAGCAUAGUGGUACAUUCCUGAUCAGAGUAGUUCAGCACUAUGGAGCAUAGUGGUACAUUCCUGAUCAACAGCUGUGUUUUGUCUCAAAUCCAAUCCAAACAUUCCAGGGUGUUCCAACUCUAGGAACGGACAGUCCACUGCCCAGGCUUGGUUUGUCUUAUGGGUAUUAUUACUGUAUUCCUAGGCGUUGUUUGUCUUACAGGUAUUAUUACUGUAUUCCUAGUACAGUAAAGGAUGCAACAGCUAUCUGAAAUAAGUGAGAGAGCCAUUCCAAUGCUUUAGGAUGGUGAGUGUGGGUUGAAGAAGGUGAAACCUGGAUUGUUCUAGCAUUUUAUACUGUGUCUACAAAUGAGGAAGGACAUUUAAGAGUGCUCCUAUGGGAUAAAAAGAUAGGUGAGGGCAUCUUUGUUGCAUUUAAGAGGUAAAAAUAACCAGCUCCACUUAGAAAGAGCAUCUUUGUGUAACCAGCAGCAUGAUAGGACACAUUUCAUUGGGAGUGUCAGGUAGACAAUGAAUAGGAAAUAGGAUACUGGGAAAGGGGGAUACCUAGUCAGUUGUACACCAUCAAAUGUGAUUAUUGUUCAAUUAUCUUGUGUGUAUGUUACAUUUACAGAAAGUGAGCGAGAGAAAGAGAAAUAUGAGAGGAAAAAGAGAGAUGCGUGAAAGACAAGGAAAGAGAGAAGUGAAGAGAAAAGAGGACAGAAUAGAGGGACAGGGCAGAUGAGGACAAUACCUCAAUUUCCAGACACCUCAAAUCUCUGUGAGCCCCUGAGUUGUGGCCCGUACUGACUGACAGAUACACAGACACUCCCGCUGACAGACUCUCUAGUCCCCUGAAUGGACCUCCAAGUCCAACAGGAAAUGAAGUGCGAUAGCUGAGCCCUCGCCCAUAAUCCCACACUAAGACCAUGUGCAAACCACUCAUCAGGGAAGUGUACAUUAGUGCACACAACAGAAAACGAAAAUGAACACAUCUUAUUGGACAAGUCAAGUUAGUCCCCACCUUUUUCAGUCCCCGUUCUUCCGUUUCGGUGCCUAAUGAACACGACACUGUGUUAACAGCCGUGUUUCGGAGUGUGUUUUCAGUUAGCACGUCUAAACUGCUGUCAAACAACUGGGAAUACAUAUGAACAACAAAGAGUCAGGGGCAAACAGCUAAGGAGGAAUAUAGCUGUCAAAGUUCAAUUAUUGUCACAGAUUAUGUGCAUAUAAACAGGCAAAUGUAAUGGCAAACAUGUUCAUUUAAUUAUGGUAAUUUAAAAAACUCAUUGUAAAUGAACUCUUCCUUCAGUUACUGAGUGACAGUUUGGACAGAGUCUAAGUUUAUCCUGAUACAGACCGAUCCAGAGCCAAGUAACAAUCUCCUGAGAGCAACUUUGACAGAAAGACUUCAAAAAAGUUUAUUCUCGUUUCAAAAAAAUCGUCGGUUGGCAAUAUAACCCAUUCCCCCUCAGUCUUUCUAAAAACGUUAUCAAAAACUAAAACUGAAACCCAAAAGCUCAAGAUUCUGAGGGAAAUAUAUACAGUAGUAAGCUCUACAAACACACGUUGCCCAUCAUAUUAACGUAUACAGAAAAGCAUCUCACCUUUCCUUUUGAAAGCUAGUAAGAAUAUUUUGGUUGGGAUGCCACAACAACUCCAUCAGACCUGCUGAGUUUAGUGUGUGUGUGUGUUUGUGUUUUGUGUGUGUGUGUAUGACUUCAGUGUACGACAUUAGUGUGUGUGAGAGUAUGUGUGUGUGUGCACAUGUCUUUUUGAGGGAGGGGAUCCAUUUUACCCAGAAAGCGAUAGACCCCUUCCUCCCAAAAUACACACAGCAAAGAGUUUAGAGAGAGACGGAGAGCAUUCAGCCACAGAGACAGGAGCAGGGGGAAGAGGAGGAGGGGAGGCAGGACAGCAUGCACCCUGUCCUGUUGGUCGGUCUGUGGAAUCCAAAGCUAGAGCCUAUCCCAGAGAAAUGCUGACCGAGGCAAGAGGCCCCAACCCCCAGUCUGCAGCCCCUGCCCCAACCCCAUCC